rnacentral:rRNA from 1 species
UAGGGAAUCUUCGGCAAUGGACGGAAGUCUGACCGAGCAACGCCGCGUGAGUGAAGAAUGUUUUCGGAUCGUAAAGCUCUGUUGUUAGAGAAGAACGUUGGAAGGAGUGGAAAAUCUACCAAGUGACGGUAACUAACAAGAAAGGGACGGCUAACUACGUGCCAGCAGCCGCGGUAAUACGAAGGUCCCGAGCUUUGUCCGGAUUUAUUGGGGGUAAAGCGAGCGCAGGCGGUUCUUUAAGUCUGAAGUUAAAGGCAGUGGCUUAACCAUUGUACGCUUUGGAAACUGGAGGACUUGAGUGCAGAAGUGGAGAGUGGAAUUCCAUUUGUAGCGGUGAAAUGCGUGGAUAUAUGGAGGAACACCGGUGGCGAAAGCGGCUCUCUGGUCUGUAACUGACGCUGAGGCUCGAAAGCGUGGGGAGCAAACAGG